AAAAAAAUAAAUCACUAGAAUCACAGUUUGGUCAUAUAACACUUUUGUUUUUCUCAGACAUUGAAACCUUCCAAAGAAUAUGUAAUAUAAAUUUUCUUUCAGUAUAUUUUCCCAUUUGAUGUGACAGACAUGGGUACUUACAAUCCCUUCAUAAAAUAGUUACCCAUCUUCAAUUUCUUGCUAGGCAAGAAAGCAGAAAUAAUUGUUUCUGUUGGCCUGGCUGCUCUGGUUUUCCCAUUCAGAAGUCCUCUGUUGGGCCUCUAAGUAGUGCUGGAAUCUUCUAGUGUGUUGAGAAUAAUGUUGGCAUUCAUUCUGAGUAAGACAAAUUUGAACUGUCUAGGAUGGGAAUAGUCUCCCACGCAGAACACAGAACCAAAAUCAGAGAAAUAGUUCCACACAAAAUCAUUCUGUUUCCCAAAGGCUUCACGAUGCUGCAUUGAAGAGCUUUAUAGGUUUAAGGUUUCAUAUGAAGCAGAUCAAGCUAGGUUUUCUUUUGAGUGGUAUUUUUAAUUCACACGUCUUAAGUCUUCAAACUUCUUACUCUACAAACAGUUCUUUAUGCAAGAAAAAUGUCUUAACAACCACUUCAGUUUUUUAGUUUAGAAAAAAAAUGCAAAUAACUCCAAACCACAAUGCUAAACCAGCUAGAGAAGAGAAUGCCAAAUAUGCAAAGUUAUUUCACAAUGUAGAAAUACAUUACCUUUUCCCUCUUCAGUUACUACCACAUAUGAGAUCAUAAGCAAUUACAUGCUUUCUCUUUUUUGCAGAGAUAUCUGAUUAAAUGCCUUUCAUACCUCUGUCAUCUUAGACGGUUCAUCAGAAACAGAGAACAUGGUAUCUGAAGUUUGUUGUUAGAGGAUCCAGUUUUGCAUAAUGCGUACACAUCUUACUUAGGUAAACAGCUUCACUAGCUUAUAAGCCUUUGGCAAGUUUUCGCAGGUAAUGUAUCAAAUAUGACUGGCAGCACAAUCAUAUAGAGGUUGACUCACAAUUUGGGGAGGUGGGGUUACUCCAUAGUAUUGUAUUAAUUAAUUAAUUAGCUUUUUGUACAUGUAUAUCUCAUCUUUCUUCCCAUCAUGGAACCUAAGACAGUGUACAUGCCAUUCAAGCUUUAACUAGACCCAGAACUGCCUAACUUCAGAAGGGUGUUGGUCUUGUGUGCCUUCAGACUAUAUACUGGCACUGAUGUGUGUUUCAGUUUGUGACCUCACUAAUUUUCCCGUAUAGAAGAAAAUGCAAAUACCUCUUUGGUAAGGAGGAUAGUUAUAUCUGUUCCUAAAGAUGAUGGUCUAGACUAGUGAAGUCUACUAACUGAACUCUGCUAAUCGACUUUUAGUGUUGUCAUUUUUCUUGUUGGCUUUCUUGAAGUGAUAGGAAAUGCAAAAUAUCAGUUUGUUGUGUCACAAAAAUUGAAAGUCCAACUUAAUGCUGUACUGUUUUUAACACUUGAUUGGAAGUCGCCCAGAGUGGCUGGGGAAACUCAGCCAGAUGGGCGGGGUAUAAAUAAUAAAUUAUUAUUAUUAUUAUUAUUAUUAUUAUUUCAGUAGGAGAAACCACAUGUUUAAAUCUCCCCCAUUUAAAUCACUUGAACUUAAGCACACUUUAUGAUGAAUGUUGUUGCCAGAUUGUGCCCAAUAAUUGUACCUUCUGAACGAGUAAAAAUGUAAGUUAAAUUUAGGACUUGAAGGUAUCCUUUUGUAUCAUACUGCUAUACGGACACAACAAAGUUCAAUAUCUGCAAAGUCUGGUUUAUGGGAAGCCCUCUGUCUGUGUUCAAUGUCUAUUGGAAGCAUUUUGCAAUUGGUUUAAGCCUCCUUUGUCUCCAGACCAUGUCACUGAUCCAGGGACAAUACAAGGUUGUCCACCACCUUCUGCAACACUUUUGGUUCCUUCUGCAAAGAACUCUGGAUAAGAUAACACAUUGAGGAACUAUGUUUUGGAUGUGAGGAACCUCCAGUUUUGGAUGUGAUAAUUGGUACCCUUGGGGGGGGGGGUAUCUAUAGCUGGUCUGUGUGCAGACUGCUCUUUCUGGGUCUGGGUAAGACAUCCUCCUGCCAUCUCUACUUGACUCCUCCAGUUCUACAGUAUCUCUGAUGGUGAUCUUUUCUUAUCGAGCUCUAGCACCGUCACCUUUCCCAAGGCUUCCUCUUCCCUCAAAUGAUUUUGUCCUUUUCCCCUUUUCCCUCUUCCUCCUAUAAUGCCUCUGUGGUUCCAAUGUCUUGUUCUUCCUUCAAAUCCAUUCUCAAAAUCUGUAUUUUCCAUGAAGCCUUUCACAUAACCUCCUCAUUCCCAUAUCUAGUAUGACCAAGCCAAGUGUGUAUAACUGUUGAUCCCUGCCUUCAUUUCUCUUCCUUUCCUCUGUUGUGUUGAUUUCUAGAUUGUAAGCCGCUCAGGGCAGGGAUCUGUCAUCAUUUGAAAAGUGCCAUGUACAUAGAUGGCACUAGAUAAACAAAUAUAAAUAGAAUUUUGAAGUCGUCUUAGUUCCUCUUCCAUUUCUAACCAUUCUGACAAGAACUUAAGUGUAUUCCUUUGUGGGUCAAAAUAUUCCACAUUAUCAGUGCAGUCACUGAAAAGGCCCUAUCUCUUGUCAUCAUCUAUAUCUCCACCCCUGGCAGGAAACAAAGAAGGGCCUCUCAUAUUUCAGUGACGCAUCUCACUUGUAGUUGAACUCUUGAGGUGUUAGUGUCAAUCAUGGAUAAAAUGUUUUUAGAAUCUAUCACGAAAGCUUUUAUCAGGUCUUUUUGCAAUUUGGUAGUAAUUUGUUAGUGAAUGCAAAUGGAUUUUUUCCUCAAUGAAAGUUAGAUCAAGAUGUUCAGCUGCAUUACAUCACCUCCUUGUUUGGUAUGCAAUAAAAACAUUCCUCUGUGCUUGAAUAAAUAAACAUCAUAAACAACUCUUCCCAAUUUGCAUGUUACAGAAACCACAGAGACUGUAGCAAGGUCAGGAAAACAUGGAUAUUUCCAACCGGCCAGUCAACAAAUAUUAUUAAGCACGCAGCUGAUCUCAUAGGGCAUGGGUUAAAAAGGAAAUUCAUCCUGAAAUUGAGGGUGGAAGCUAGUGUGUCUCCCCUAUGACCCAGUUCCAUGAGUCAAUAUGCUGACAAAGGCGCACAUAGGACUUGGGUAUGAGAAUCCCAUGAGAAUGCAAGGGCAUGAUGUUUGACCCUAGCCCCACUGCCAGCACAAUAACAAGCAUUGGUGCUAUUCUACCAGCAGCAAACCCCUGCUGUUGUCUUGGCACAACUAUACUGCCUUGGCACAACAUUUAAUGCAGCUUGGGAAAGGUUUACCCCAAUCCACUUCUGCGCCACAAGCGGUCCAGGAGUCAAAAGUCACAAUAUUUCUUAUAACAAAGGCAAAACGGGGCCAAGUGCUGGAUUUCUCACAUUAGCCGUGGCGGGGCAGCUAAAACAGAGGAGUGCCUAGGAGUUGGCAAAGCCAGCUCUACUGGGAGCACAGGUCUGAGGGAAGGGGCACAAAAAUCACCCCAGAAAUCAGUCUCCAGUUAUCUGUGUAAUGUCAUGAGUUUAGGCAAGAGCUGGAAAUUGAGCAGUAGGAGAAAUGGCAAGACGGUAUGAAGGUAGACCACUAGAGACUAUGGAGUGUGUGACUUAGAUGUGCCAUCACUGUUGUGACAAGAUCAAAUGUGGGGAAAGUGAUUUGGGGGGAGGAGUGCUGGUACAGGUCCUUGCCAAGGGCGCAAGGGACCCCAACAGGAGAAGUGGGAUUUGGGGGGGCACAGAUCAAUAAAGCUCCUUGCUAAGGGUGCAAGGGACACCUAGGUACACCUAGAGUGACAGACUUUGAGCGCUGGUUUGAACAUGCAUAUGCAUUACUUUGCAGCUGUAGCAUCAACUGAGGCUUGGUGUAUAUCUGAAUGUGCAUUUGCAUUAGGAAUCUUAGAUGAAUUGGGGAGGAGUGGCCAGACAGAAAAGGGUUAAGCAGCCUCUUCCUUGGCAUUUCCUAUCACCAACACUAAACUCACAGGCUCCUGGGACUGCCUUGGUAGAGGGAGAAAAGGGAGAGAGUUGCAUUCAAUUGUGUGCCAUGUCUAGGUUGGGCCUGAGUUGGUUAAUCGAACACAGCUUUGAAAGAUUUGAAGUUCAAAUCAAUGCCAUUCCGUAAAGCUUCAUUCCAUGUGAACCAGUCUUCUGGGGCCUGUUCCCGAGAUUUCAGAGGCAAGUCAGCAAUCCUUGUGUAAUGAUGCAAUCCAGACUAUUGCAUAAGGAGCAGGCACUUGUGUGAUAUGAAAUAAAUUCCUGAGCUUGCAGCAACAUCUGAGACUUGACAGUGCUGUUGAUAUAAAGAUUUCCAGUGCAUAUAAAGAUUUUAAGCAUGAAGAAACUGAAAUGCUCGAAUGUCUUGUCCUCUAAAUACAGCAGGGGUUGUGUAGUAGUUAAGAGCAUGGCAAUAACUUAGUGGCUCAAAUUUCGUCCGAAUCAGGGCUUCAACCGGAACUUGGUUCUAGCACCUCUCAGAUGAGCACCAUUGCCAUUAUAAGAGAACUAGGGAGAUAUUCAUGGUGAGUUCUGGCACCUCAUUUUCUAGAAAAAUACCACUGGUCUUAAUCAUAAAUUUACUGGGAAGUUUUAGGUUAUCUGGAGUCUCGUGGUCCUAGCCUGUUUGCACCUUAUUACCUUACCCACUCUGGUUCCUUCCAACUCUACAAUUCCAUGAUUCUAUGAUUCUGCCAUCUAGGGUGGUGAUGAUAAUACUUGCCCAACCUAGUAAGGCUGUUGCAGUGAUUAUAGAGGUAAGAUUUAUUAGCUGUUUUGAGGCACUGGGUCAGGGGGCUUAGUAUAAAGAUACUAAGGAUUAAUAUUCUUAAAGAAACAGUAGUAUGUAUAAAAUACAUAUAAGACCAAUGAGAAGGUGGUGAGUGGGGUGGAAAUGGGAACUCUCCCUGGAAGUGACACUAAUAAGGCAAGCUGCCCCAUCAAUAAGUAUCUAGGAAGUACUGCUCUUUUACCAGAAUAGCAUUGCCAGACAUGGUGCUGAGGAAAUGCUUGUUGCAUGGAUGUAGAUAUAGAGGGGGGGAUAUGCAGAAUAGCAAUGCUUUUCUUCCUUUCAGGGAAGUUCCCAGUUGUUAAAAAGAAGCUGAAUGGAUUAUGCUAAGUUUUUCUUUACAAUUAUGUAUGGUAUGUUCCCGUUGAGUAUUUAAAAAUCUAAUUUUACUGGAAAUUUCAAGAUAAGUUAAAUUUGUAAAAAUGCUUUUAUUUUUCAAAGAAAGAGAUAUGGGACCAUUGCAUGUAAAUAAUAGAAUAUAUUUUCCGUAUUAUUGCUCUGUAUUUUUAUAUGCUAAAUCUCUAGCUUCAGACUAUGUUUUACUAACCCUGAUGCAGUGGAAACUUUUAUUUAUUUAAAAACAAGAAUGAUGUAUUUUGACUCCACGGAGAUAUAGAUAUAGAUAUAGAUAUAUAUUACAAGAUAAACAUUUGAAGGUGUUUCAUAAAUGGCUGAUCUACUUUUCAUUUGUUGCAAACCUGUAUGUUGUUACACACUUCUUGAUCCUGUCCGCCAUAGCUUUAUAACCACCAAAAGAUCACCUGAUCAACAGAAUACUUUUCGAAACAUGCUAUUCUAAUUCCUGUUCUACCAGUUCAUACAUUAAAAAUCAAAUAGGAAUUUUAAAGUGUGUUGGUUUUGUUGUCUGCAACUGUUUUAAGUUUUAUGUAACCCUUGAGGGUAAGUGAUUGGGUCAUGUAUGACUGUGAUGGGAAGAAGAAGAGCCAAAGGCAAGAAGAACCAUCCCUUUCAUUUCUGUCUUUCUGGCUCCCCCUUCUCUCGUUUUCUCCCUGUCUCCCACUUUCCUCCACCCAUUGAGCUGCUGAAGAGACACAGGUCACUUUUGCUAGAUAUUUUAACUAAUCACCAGCAGAGGACUUUGGGGAAACAAAACCUGAGGGCCAUAUGUAGCCUCAAAGCCACAGGUUGCCCACCUGUGGCUAAUGAGAACUAGGUACCUGUAAUGG